AGCUAGCCCAACUCUCAAUCUCUCAGGCAUCCCAUCCCUCAGCCCCCACACGCCGCUUCCAGUGCUGCUGAGUCCUGACCCGACGACCCGCCCCGCUGCCUGCACCGCUGCCCCACGCCGCGGCCGCGCUCUAACAACGGCGACGCGGCACACCAGCCCGCGGCCACCAGCCACCUCUCACCCGGCCGCUGGCGACCCAACGCGUUCAAGCUGUCAGCUCGUAUACUGGGGCUGCUGUGUGCUGAGUGAUUAAUUGAAUAAUUGGUGCAACUCGCCGCCCCCUGAUUGAUGCUUUCUGGAUCCAUCGGCAUCCUGCAUGUCGACUCUCCUCUUCCUUGGUCAUCUUGGCCUCUAUUGUUUCUGAUCUAGGCGAACAUGCAGAUUUUCAUCUUUUGGAUCGAAGUCUGAAAAUUCAGGGCCCAGGAGCACCUUUUCUUUGCAGAAAAACUACAGGUUGCGAACCUUCAGAACCAGAGCACAUGGAUUUAAACAUUAUUAAGACAUUGUUGCUUUCUGAAAGACCAAGUGAUGAGUACAUAGCCGGGGUAGAAGGUUUUCUUAAGUUUGCAUACAGAGGGAAGAACUCCAAUGCGAAGAUUCGUUGCCCAUGUCUCCAGUGUGUUAACAAGAUAUUACAAAAGCAAGAUACAGUUUAUGAUCACUUAGUAUGCAAUGGAAUGCUCCGUGGAUACAUUAUAUGGGGUUGCCAUGGGGAAACAGCAUCAUAUAUCUCUGCUAACAAGGAUUCGGAGUCACAACUUCCAAGUUUAAACAAUAAUAUGCGACAGGUUGUCCAAGAAACUUUUGGAUAUGAAAACAAUGGACAUCACACACAAAUGAUUCAGAUCCUGAAAGUUGUUCUAAAGCUGGACCAGAUGCAGAAACACAAGCUUUCUUUGAUUUGCUUAAAGAUGAUGACCAACCUUUAUGGGAAGGCUGUGAACUAUCAAAACAUUCUUUUCUAGUCCUCCUGUUUAAUGUCAAGUCCAGCAAUAAGUGGAGCAAUAAAUCAUUAAAUGAUUUGCUUCAAAUUUUACAGCUUGCUUUGCCAAAUGGUGCCAACAUACCAAGAACAUUUGCAGAGGCUUGGAAGAUCAUUGGAAAGCUUGGCCUAAGAUAUGAAAAAAUUCUUGUAUGCCCAAAUAAUUGUCAGAUCUAUCGAAAGGACAAGAAAGAUCACGACUUCUGUUCAAAAUGUGAAGCUUCAAGGAGCAAAGGUAUACCAGACAAAACAAACUUAACACAGAAGCAAAGAAGAAAAGCAGUCCCAAAUACGGUGUUGCGAUACUUUCCAAUCAAACCAAGGCUUAAAAGGAUUUUUAUGAACAAAGAAACAGCCCAAUUAACUAGAUGGCAUGAUGAGGUUACCCAGGCAAGGACUUCCAUACAUUUAUGCAACCAGUUUAUGAUGAGCUGAUUGAACUGUUUGACAUUGGUAUGCCUACAUAUGAUGCAUCUCGAGAUGAGGUGUUCCAACUUCGUGCUACAUUGAUGUAUACAAUCAGUGACUAUCCUGGGGCUGGGAUAUUGGCACAGUUCAGCACUAAUAGCCAGCUGGGUUGUAUGUCUUGUGAAGAAGAAACAAGUUCCAUGCGCUUGAAGCAUGGCUACAAACAGUGUUACAUGGGACAUCGGCGGUUUCUACCUGCUGACCAUGAGUUUCGAUAUGAUGCAAAAUCUUUUGAUGGAACUGAAGAGCAUGAUCGAAACCAGUUCCUUGCUCUGGAAUAAAUCUUUUGGAAAAGAUAGAAUCAAUCAAGGAUUUUGACAAUUCAAAAACAUGGAAGGGUGCUGGUGGCCUCUUUUGCUUAUCUUAUUGGAAGUAUAAUUUGCUCCGGCACAAUUUUGACUUUAUGCAUAUAGAAAAGAAUGUCUGUGAAAAUACAUAUGGCACACUUUUAGAGAUGGAGGGCAAAUCAAAGGACAAUCUACAGGCAAGGAAAGACUUGCAAGAAAUGAACAUCCGGCCAGAUCUACAUCCACAAAAAAGGCUAACGAUAAGUAUUACUUACCUCCUGCUUUGUACAAUGUCUAAAGAAGAGAAGCAACAGUUUUGUAAGGUCCUUCAUGAUAUUAAAGUUCCAGAUGGUUAUUCUAGUAACAUCUCCAGAUGUGUAAAUGUUGCUUAAGCGAAAAUUUGAGGCCUAAAAAGUCAUGAUUGCCACAUACUAAUGCAACAACUUCUGCCGGUUGCUUUGCGAGGUCUUCUCCCUGAUGAUGUUACAUCUGUCUUGUUUCAUCUUUGUGGGUAUUUUACAGAGCUAAAUGCGAAGGUUCUCUACAUAGAUGAUCUUGAAAAGUUAGAGGAGCGAAUUAUAAUGACAUUAUGCCGAAUGGAGAUGAUAUUUCCUCCAGGAUUUUUUACUAUGAUGGUGCAUCUAGUUCUUCACUUAGCAACAGAGGCAAAAAUAGGUGGUCCAGUUUGCUAUCGGUCAAUGUAUUUUGUGGAAAGGUACCUUGGUGAGCUGAAAUCAAAUGUGAGGAACAAAGCUCAUCCAGAGGGAUGUAUUGCCGAAUCAGUUUUGGCAAAAGAGGCUAUGGGACUUUGCUCAGGAUUUCUUGAUGGUUUUCAAAGCUUGGUUAACAAGCUCUCAAGGACUGAUGAUAAUGAUGAAACACUUGGAUGUUCUACUGGAGCAGCAUCAACUCUUUUUCCAAAUGCUGGAAGGGCACUUGGAAAGCCACGAAGUUAUGUUAUAAGAGGUCUGGCAAAAGUACAAGCGCAUAGAUAUGUGUUAUUCAAUUGUUCUGAUGUCAAUCCAUACCUUUGAGCUCAUGCUGAAGAGAUCACAACUAAGCAUAUUGGACGUCGAGGGAGCCAUAGAGAAGUUGAGAAAAUACAAAAUGAGAAGUUCCAUCUAUGGUUUAGAAGUCAUAUUAUGCAGAUUGAGAGGACAGAUGGCAUUCACAGUUUGAAAGAUGGCAUCAGAUGGCUAGCUCGUGGCCCAGUUGAAGUAGCAAAAAGGAGAAAAGAUUGGGCAUGAACCUUUCAUUUUUCCUAACCAAGCUGACCAGGUCUUUUAUGUUGAAGACAAACUAAACCCUGGGUGGCCCGUGGUCAUGAAAAUGAAACCAAGAGAUAUAUAUGAUGUUGGUUCUGAUGAA